UUGGCUUAAAUCAUCCUCGCUUAGCGUUCAAUUUAGAAAAAGGGCAUUUAUCUCAGUCUUUGCAACUGAUGGCACUUCAGAGCUAUUUGCAUCAUGGUUUUAUGAUUCGUAUCUCUUCUUAUUUCAUGUUUUUAUCUGACCAUUGACUGACAGGCACAAGCAAAGGCGGCCACUGCAAACUCAGAGAAAGCCAAGCAAGCUGAGAUUGCAGCUUUGCAGGCUCAGCUUCAAGCGCUCCGAGACAUGGCAGGGGAAUCUGACAAAGCAGGCUCCCCUAAGCCAGCUAAAGGUUAGUAAACAAGAAUUUCAUAUUAGCCGGCAGUUCGCCAUUAGUUGUGAUAGUUACUUAUCCGCCACAUACAUCAUUUCAUCAAUAUCCUUUGGUUUGCGCUGUUUUCUUUCUUUUUUCUUUUUUUUUUUUUUUUUU